AGGACGAACGCUGGCGGCGUGCUUAACACAUGCAAGUCGAGCGGAAAGGCCCUUCGGGGUACUCGAGCGGCGAACGGGUGAGUAACACGUGAGCAAUCUGCCCUUAGCUUCGGGAUAGCCCCGGGAAACCGGGAUUAAUACCGAAUAUGACCUCGGCCGACAUCGGCUUUGGUGGAAAGUUUUUCGGCUAGGGAUGAACUCGCGGCCUAUCAGCUUGUUGGUGGGGUAAUGGCCUACCAAGGCGACGACGGGUAGCCGGCCUGAGAGGGCGACCGGCCACACUGGGACUGAGACACGGCCCAGACUCCUACGGGAGGCAGCAGUGGGGAAUAUUGCGCAAUGGGCGAAAGCCUGACGCAGCGACGCCGCGUGGGGGAUGAAGGCCUUCGGUUGUAAACCCCUUUCAGCAGGGACGAAGCGAGAGUGACGGUACCUGCAGAAGAAGCGCCGGCUAACUACGCGCCAGCAGCCGC
rnacentral:rRNA from 1 species